rnacentral:rRNA from 1 species
GUGCCAGCAGCCGCGGUAAUACGUAGGGUGCGAGCGUUGUCCGGAAUUACUGGGCGUAAAGAGCUCGUAGGUGGUUUGUCGCGUUGUUCGUGAAAACUCACAGCUUAACUGUGGGCGUGCGGGCGAUACGGGCAGACUAGAGUACUGCAGGGGAGACUGGAAUUCCUGGUGUAGCGGUGGAAUGCGCAGAUAUCAGGAGGAACACCGGUGGCGAAGGCGGGUCUCUGGGCAGUAACUGACGCUGAGGAGCGAAAGCGUGGGGAGCGAACAGGAUUAGAUACCCUGGUAGUCCACGCCGUAAGCGGUGGGUACUAGGUGUGGGUUCCUUCCUUGGGAUCCGUGCCGUAGCUAACGCAUUAAGUACCCCGCCUGGGGAGUACGGCCGCAAGGCUAAAACUCAAAGGAAUUGACGGGGGCCCGCACAAGCGGCGGAGCAUGUGGAUUAAUUCGAUGCAACGCGAAGAACCUUACCUGGGUUUGACAUGCA